AUUGAACGCUGGCGGCAUGCCUAACACAUGCAAGUCGAACGAGUGGCGGACGGGUGAGUAAUGUCUCGGAACGUGCCCUGUGGAGGGGGAUAACUGUUGGAAACAGUAGCUAAUACCGCAUACCAUUCGAUGUGCCCAUGUGGGAUUAGCUAGUGGGUGGGGUAACGGCUCACCUAGGCGACGAUCCCUAGCGGGUCUGAGAGGAUGACCCGCCACACUGGAACUGAGACACGGCCCAGACUCCUACGGGAGGCAGCAGUGGGGAAUUUUGGACAAUGGGCGCAAGCCUGAUGCAGCCAUGCCGCGUGAGUGAAGAAGGUCUUCGGGUCGUAAAGGACUGUUGUCAGGGAAGCGGUACCUAAAGAAAAAGCCCCGGCUAACUACGUGCCAGCAGCCGCGGUAAUUC
rnacentral:rRNA from 1 species